UACGGGGGGAGCAAGCGUUGUUCGGAUUUACUGGGCGUAAAGGGCUCGUAGGCGGCCAACUAAGUCGGAUGUGAAAUCCCCAGGCUUAACCUGGGAACUGCAUCCGAUACUGGAUGGCUUGAAUCCGGGAGAGGGAUGCAGAAUUCCAGGUGUAGCGGUGAAAUGCGUAGAGAUGGGGGAGAACACUCGUGGCGAAGGCGGCCAGCUAGACCAGUUCUGACACUGAGGCGCGACAGCGUGGGGAGCAAACAGG
rnacentral:rRNA from 1 species